UACGAAGGGAGCUAGCGUUGUUCGGAAUCACUGGGCGUAAAGCGCACGUAGGCGGAUUUGUCAGUCAGGGGUGAAAUCCCGGGGCUCAACCUCGGAACUGCCUUUGAUACAGCAAGUCUUGAGUUCGAGAGAGGUGGGUGGAAUUCCUAGUGUAGAGGUGAAAUUCGUAGAUAUUGGGAAGAACACCGAUGGCGAAGGCAGCCAUCUGGACCGACACUGACGCUGAGGCGCGAAAGCGUGGGGAGCAAACAGG
rnacentral:rRNA from 1 species